GGGUUGUGAGGUUAAGCGAACAAGCGUACACGGUGGAUGCCCUGGCAGUCAGAGGCGAUGAAGGACGUGCUAAUCUGCGAAAAGCGCCGGUAAGGUGAUAUGAACCGUUAUAACCGGCGAUGUCCGAAUGGGGAAACCCGGUGCACUUCGGUGCAUCAUCGUUAGCUGAAUACAUAGGCUAACGAGGCGAACCGGGGGAACUGAAACAUCUAAGUACCCCGAGGAAAAGAAAUCAACCGAGAUUCCCCCAGUAGCGGCGAGCGAACGGGGAACAGCCCAGAGCCUGAAUCAGCUUGUGUGUCAGUGGAACGGUCUGGAAAGGCCGGCGAUACAGGGUGACAGCCCCGUACACGAAGGCACACAGGCUGUGAGCUCGAUGAGUAGGGCGGGACACGUGAUAUCCUGUCUGAAGAUGGGGGGACCAUCCUCCAAGGCUAAAUACUCCUGACUGACCGAUAGUGAACCAGUACCGUGAGGGAAAGGCGAAAAGAACCCCGGCGAGGGGAGUGAAACAGAACCUGAAACCGUGUACGUACAAGCAGUGGGAGCCUUCGUAAGAGGGUGACUGCGUACCUUUUGUAUAAUGGGUCAGCGACUUAUAUUCUGUAGCAAGGUUAACCGUAUAGGGGAGCCGAAGGGAAACCGAGUCUUAACCGGGCGUUAAGUUGCAGGGUAUAGACCCGAAACCCGGUGAUCUAGCCAUGGGCAGGUUGAAGGUUGGGUAACACUAACUGGAGGACCGAACCGACUAAUGUUGAAAAAUUAGCGGAUGACCUGUGGCUGGGGGUGAAAGGCCAAUCAAACCGGGAGAUAGCUGGUUCUCCCCGAAAGCUAUUUAGGUAGCGCCUCGUGAACUCAUCUCCGGGGGUAGAGCACUGUUUCGGCUAGGGGGCCAUCCCGGCUUACCAACCCGAUGCAAACUGCGAAUACCGGAGAAUGUUAUCACGGGAGACACACGGCGGGUGCUAACGUCCGUCGUGAAGAGGGAAACAACCCAGACCGCCAGCUAAGGUCCCAAAGUCAUGGUUAAGUGGGAAACGAUGUGGGAAGGCCCAGACAGCCAGGAUGUUGGCUUAGAAGCAGCCAUCAUUUAAAGAAAGCGUAAUAGCUCACUGGUCGAGUCGGCCUGCGCGGAAGAUGUAACGGGGCUAAACCAUGCACCGAAGCUGCGGCAGCGACACUUAUGUGUUGUUGGGUAGGGGAGCGUUCUGUAAGCCUGCGAAGGUGUGCUGUGAGGCAUGCUGGAGGUAUCAGAAGUGCGAAUGCUGACAUAAGUAACGAUAAAGCGGGUGAAAAGCCCGCUCGCCGGAAGACCAAGGGUUCCUGUCCAACGUUAAUCGGGGCAGGGUGAGUCGACCCCUAAGGCGAGGCCGAAAGGCGUAGUCGAUGGGAAACAGGUUAAUAUUCCUGUACUUGGUGUUACUGCGAAGGGGGGACGGAGAAGGCUAUGUCGGCCGGGCGACGGUUGUCCCGGUUUAAGCGUGUAGGCUGACUUUCCAGGCAAAUCCGGAAGGUUAAGGCUGAGGCGUGAUGACGAGGCACCACGGUGCUGAAGUGACAAAUGCCCUGCUUCCAGGAAAAGCCUCUAAGCAUCAGGUAACAUCAAAUCGUACCCCAAACCGACACAGGUGGUCAGGUAGAGAAUACCAAGGCGCUUGAGAGAACUCGGGUGAAGGAACUAGGCAAAAUGGUGCCGUAACUUCGGGAGAAGGCACGCUGACAUGUAGGUGAAGCCCCUGCGGGUGGAGCUGAAGUCAGUCGAAGAUACCAGCUGGCUGCAACUGUUUAUUAAAAACACAGCACUGUGCAAACACGAAAGUGGACGUAUACGGUGUGACGCCUGCCCGGUGCCGGAAGGUUAAUUGAUGGGGUUAUCGCAAGAGAAGCUCCUGAUCGAAGCCCCGGUAAACGGCGGCCGUAACUAUAACGGUCCUAAGGUAGCGAAAUUCCUUGUCGGGUAAGUUCCGACCUGCACGAAUGGCGUAAUGAUGGCCAGGCUGUCUCCACCCGAGACUCAGUGAAAUUGAACUCGCUGUGAAGAUGCAGUGUACCCGCGGCAAGACGGAAAGACCCCGUGAACCUUUACUACAGCUUGACACUGAACAUUGAGCCUUGAUGUGUAGGAUAGGUGGGAGGCUUUGAAGCGUGGACGCCAGUCUGCGUGGAGCCGACCUUGAAAUACCACCCUUUAAUGUUUGAUGUUCUAACCUGGCGCCGUGAUCCGGCGUGGGGACAGUGUCUGGUGGGUAGUUUGACUGGGGCGGUCUCCUCCCAAAGUGUAACGGAGGAGCACGAAGGUCAGCUAAUCCUGGUCGGACAUCAGGAGGUUAGUGCAAUGGCAUAAGCUGGCUUGACUGCGAGAGUGACGGCUCGAGCAGGUGCGAAAGCAGGUCAUAGUGAUCCGGUGGUUCUGUAUGGAAGGGCCAUCGCUCAACGGAUAAAAGGUACUCCGGGGAUAACAGGCUGAUACCGCCCAAGAGUUCAUAUCGACGGCGGUGUUUGGCACCUCGAUGUCGGCUCAUCACAUCCUGGGGCUGAAGUAGGUCCCAAGGGUAUGGCUGUUCGCCAUUUAAAGUGGUACGCGAGCUGGGUUUAGAACGUCGUGAGACAGUUCGGUCCCUAUCUGCCGUGGGCGCUGGAGAAUUGAGGGGGGCUGCUCCCAGUACGAGAGGACCGGAGUGGACGCAUCACUGGUGUUCGGGUUGUCAUGCCAAUGGCACUGCCCGGUAGCUAAAUGCGGAAGAGAUAAGUGCUGAAAGCAUCUAAGCACGAAACUUGCCCCGAGAUGAGUUCUCCCUGAGACUGUAAGUCUCCUGAAGGAACGUUGAAGACGACGACGUUGAUAGGCCGGGUGUGUAAGCGCAGCGAUGCGUUGAGCUAACCGGUACUAAUGAACCGUGAGGCUUAACCUUACAACGCCAAAGAAGU
rnacentral:rRNA from 1 species